UAGGUCCUACGGGACGCAGCAGUAGGGAAUCUUCCACAAUGGGCGAAAGCCUGAUGGAGCAACGCCGCGUGGGUGAAGAAGGUCUUCGGAUCGUAAAACCCUGUUGUUAGAGAAGAAAGUGCGUGAGAGGAACUGUUCACGAUUUGACGGUAUCUAAUCAGAAAGCCACGGCUAACUACGUGCCAGCAGCCGCGGUAAUACGUAGGUGGCAAGCGUUAUCCGGAUUUAUUGGGCGUAAGGGGAACGCAGGCGGUCUUUUAAGUCUGAUGUGA
rnacentral:rRNA from 1 species